AGAGUUUGAUCAUGGCUCAGAUUGAACGCUGGCGGCAGGCCUAACACAUGCAAGUCGAGCGGUAGCACAGAGAGCUUGCUCUCGGGUGACGAGCGGCGGACGGGUGAGUAAUGUCUGGGAAACUGCCUGAUGGAGGGGGAUAACUACUGGAAACGGUAGCUAAUACCGCAUAACGUCGCAAGACCAAAGUGGGGGACCUUCGGGCCUCAUGCCAUCAGAUGUGCCCAGAUGGGAUUAGCUAGUAGGUGGGGUAACGGCUCACCUAGGCGACGAUCCCUAGCUGGUCUGAGAGGAUGACCAGCCACACUGGAACUGAGACACGGUCCAGACUCCUACGGGAGGCAGCAGUGGGGAAUAUUGCACAAUGGGCGCAAGCCUGAUGCAGCCAUGCCGCGUGUAUGAAGAAGGCCUUCGGGUUGUAAAGUACUUUCAGCGGGGAGGAAGGCGAUAAGGUUAAUAACCUUGUCGAUUGACGUUACCCGCAGAAGAAGCACCGGCUAACUCCGUGCCAGCAGCCGCGGUAAUACGGAGGGUGCAAGCGUUAAUCGGAAUUACUGGGCGUAAAGCGCACGCAGGCGGUCUGUCAAGUCGGAUGUGAAAUCCCCGGGCUCAACCUGGGAACUGCAUUCGAAACUGGCAGGCUAGAGUCUUGUAGAGGGGGGUAGAAUUCCAGGUGUAGCGGUGAAAUGCGUAGAGAUCUGGAGGAAUACCGGUGGCGAAGGCGGCCCCCUGGACAAAGACUGACGCUCAGGUGCGAAAGCGUGGGGAGCAAACAGGAUUAGAUACCCUGGUAGUCCACGCCGUAAACGAUGUCGAUUUGGAGGUUGUGCCCUUGAGGCGUGGCUUCCGGAGCUAACGCGUUAAAUCGACCGCCUGGGGAGUACGGCCGCAAGGUUAAAACUCAAAUGAAUUGACGGGGGCCCGCACAAGCGGUGGAGCAUGUGGUUUAAUUCGAUGCAACGCGAAGAACCUUACCUGGUCUUGACAUCCACAGAACUUAGCAGAGAUGCUUUGGUGCCUUCGGGAACUGUGAGACAGGUGCUGCAUGGCUGUCGUCAGCUCGUGUUGUGAAAUGUUGGGUUAAGUCCCGCAACGAGCGCAACCCUUAUCUUUUGUUGCCAGCGGUUCGGCCGGGAACUCAAAGGAGACUGCCAGUGAUAAACUGGAGGAAGGUGGGGAUGACGUCAAGUCAUCAUGGCCCUUACGACCAGGGCUACACACGUGCUACAAUGGCAUAUACAAAGAGAAGCGACCUCGCGAGAGCAAGCGGACCUCAUAAAGUAUGUCGUAGUCCGGAUUGGAGUCUGCAACUCGACUCCAUGAAGUCGGAAUCGCUAGUAAUCGUAGAUCAGAAUGCUACGGUGAAUACGUUCCCGGGCCUUGUACACACCGCCCGUCACACCAUGGGAGUGGGUUGCAAAAGAAGUAGGUAGCUUAACCUUCGGGAGGGCGCUUACCACUUUGUGAUUCAUGACUGGGGUGAAGUCGUAACAAGGUAACCGUAGGGGAACCUGCGGUUGGAUCACCU
rnacentral:rRNA from 2 species